GCUGGUAUUGGCAUGUCUUGUGAGUGACCCGAAAUGCAGAGUGUACCAGAAUCAUCUUGUUCCCAAUACACUUCUACCAUAGUACCGAUAGGAUUCUCAGCAGAUUCUGUUCCUGGGAUUUUCACAAAUCUUGCUCCUACAGGUAUCUGAAUAGUCACAUAAAUGAAACAGCGUUACUUAUUUCACAGAGAUUAGAGUUUUCGCAUGCAAUCUCAUCAAGAAAAUUAGGAAAUCGAGAAUCUGAUAAUCUACUUACUUGAAGUGAGAGCCCCGUAUUCAAAGUAAGAGUUGCAGAGCUUCCUUCAGCCACAUCUUCCAAUUCUGCUUGUCUAGCAAUGUUUAGAAAAACUUCUUCAAGAGUUGUAAGCCCCAGCUGGAUAUCUGAUAUGCCAAAUUCCAUAUCUCUAGCUUGUAGCUCAGCAAAAAAGUCCUGAUUGAAGGUAAAAGCCAGUGAUCACCAAAUGAGCUAAAAGUCCAAAACUCGUGUGCAUGUAAUUCCACAAUAUAGUAGCAAGACCAGAAAUGAUUUUAAACCAAUCUAAUCUCAUAGUUGCUUUAAAGAUUUUUACCGUCAACAACUUCUCCUUGUCAUGGGGAAUAAUAUAGGUUAGGAAGGAUUUAUUUUCCUCUUUAGGCAUCACGUCCAGACGCUGUGUACAAAGCUAGCAAAUCAGAACCAGUUCCUCUAAUAGUUUCAGAAAAGAAAGGGAAAAAGCAAUAGGCAUCUUUGACAUACACUUUUAAAGAACUGUUUCAAUGCUUCAGGUUGAGAUGUACUCAAACUAUCUUCCCUUUCAGGAGACCCAUUUGUCCCACCAGAAAAGCUUACGUUAGCAAUGAAACCAGUUCCAAACUUCGAUUUCAAUCUUAUUGAAGUUCCGAUGCAACGAAGUCUACCCUUUGCCAUGAUGCCAAUGCGGUCACUUAAGAUGUCAGCUUCUUCCAUUGAAUGAGUAUAAUUUUGUAAUAUAUUGAUAAAUUAGUGUUAACCAAAACGAAGCUAUAAGAUACAAAGAAUCUGCCUGGAAACAAAAUGUUCUGGUGACACACAAAUACUCCAAAUAGCAAACACAUUUACAGCAAUUCACCUAUACACAAAAAUAGUUUAAAGCCUUUUUUUACUGUGACUAUUAAGUUCUAUAUCUAUCAUGAAGUUGCACCCGUGAUCUGUGCAGGGUCGAUCACAAUUCCAUGAUUUUGUUUCUGUCGUCCUAAAAUGUUUCUACCAGAAGUGGCUGUUGGAGGAUCUCUUAGUUGAAUAUGAGCUGGUAUUGGCAUGUCUUGUGAGUGACCCGAAAUGCAGAGUGUACCAGAAUCAUCUUGUUCCCAAUACACUUCUACCAUAGUACCGAUAGGAUUCUCAGCAGAUUCUGUUCCUGGGAUUUUCACAAAUCUUGCUCCUACAGGUAUCUGAAUAGUCACAUAAAUGAAACAGCGUUACUUAUUUCACAGAGAUUAGAGUUUUCGCAUGCAAUCUCAUCAAGAAAAUUAGGAAAUCGAGAAUCUGAUAAUCUACUUACUUGAAGUGAGAGCCCCG
rnacentral:lncRNA from 1 species